CUGGUGUCCAUUUCUGGAACUGCUAUUUGUGUGUUGCAUGAUAUUUUAUCAGGGGGGAAAAAAAAAAUAAAACUGAGAUCCAAUUUCAUGAAAAUGCUGUUGCCGUAUGCCCAGGAGGACAGGGGGAGGAGAGAGUCAAGUCUUCCUCCGUCUACCUCAUACGCAGCAGAAAGAAGACUAUCAAAGUAGCAAACAGUGAAAGAUUCUUGAAGAGGGGAAUAGACACUUGAAGAGCACACAAAGCAGAUUAGGGUGCGUGUCCAGGUGUUAUGGCUGCCAGUCUCUGCUACGCUGGAUGGAGAGGGAGGCAGGGAGAGGAAGUUGAGGUAGAUACCAGUGUAUGAAAGGAGGAAAAUCACUAAAGGAUUCAGACUGGGGUCUUUCAGAAGACAACCCGACUAUAACCUGGACAACAAGCCCAUGAUUUUUCUAGAUUCACCUGGAACCUGAAGGCAAUGCAGCUUGAGGUAUCCUUUGCUAUAAGCAAAAUAAUAGCAAGAAUAAUUACUUCAAACUAAGAGUGUACAGUUAGGUAGACAAUCAAGCAAUUUUUCAGAAUUAAAAAAAAAUGCCUGGACAAAUGGGAAAAGUACUAAUUUUAGAAAGACUGCAAAUGCCCAAGGUUAAGCAUGGGAACGAAGAAACUCUUCUUGCAGGAUUCCUACAGCACACCUCUCUAGUCACCUAAAAGAACAGGACUUCUGCGACAAGUUGGUACUGGAAGCAGAGUCUUCUACUGGCAAUCUUGCACAUCUGACUUCUGAAGAACCUCCCCUAGAGCAGGUUCCUGCCCUGUGCUGUUUAAAGGAGGCCUCCCCUUGAAGCUGUGUGAACUGAAUGACUGUCACCAGAAGCAUGGGACACCCUGACAUCACAAAAGGAGCACUGGGGCUCUGCUUCCUGUCAGGGAGAUCCCUAGAAGGCAUUCGUUCCCACCCAGGAAGGCCAGCACUCGGAAACAAUUGCCAACCACAAAAAUAGCCCCCACUUAACACAAAUUAAACAUAUUCCCAUCUUGACUUCUCUUUAGCUACAGCCCCAAGGGCUCGGCACUUUGUGGGCACCCCACUCCAGCAGGAGGAAGAUGGACUGAAAAUGGAAACAGUCUUAAGUAACAAUAGCUAAAUAUAUCUCGUUUGUAGUAGAUCUUACAAGCACACACAACCAUGAGAACACAUUGCAAAAGCUCCUCCCUUCCCUUGGAGGAAGCCUGUUCCAGCUAAGAGGGCCACGGCUCAAGCUUGUUUGCUGAUCCACUGUAGGCAGAGCCUCACCCAGACUCUGACUGUAACUGGGGAUGCCAGUCUGUAAAGAGUGGCAACAGUCAAUGACUGAAAGUAACCACAGUGUCCAUGGACUAAAAAGGAUAUAUUUGGAAGGCCAUUAGUAAGUAAAAGCAGGGUGACCCUGUGGCAACUAGGAAUGAACAGGGAUGGCAAAAAUAAAAGAAGCAUGACGCCAUCUAAUCCGGCUCGCAUCCAGCUUUAACUAAGACGUUCACAUGCAGUUCCAGUGUGAGGUACAGAGACGGCCAUCACACAGACAGAGGCCUCUCAGGGAGUGACAUCGGGAGAGUUUGCACCCAGGGCAGGAGAUCCAGAAGACCUUAUCUGACUUAGUCUAAGGAAAUUCUGUGCUCUGACUGCACACCAAGUCCUAAACUGCCACCGUAAGAUGGACAUGAACUCAUGCCCCAAAGCCUCAGCUUCUGCUUUUCUUCAUUCAGCUGGAGACAUGGCUAUUGCACCAAACACACCAACAUCUGGCUGCCUCAGUUUGACCCACUUCCUUCCUAGUGUGAAAGCAGGAAGCAAAAAUUAAAAUGAGAGAAAGAAGAACCAACAAACCACCAUCUGCAGCAGAGAUACGUGAAAUGACCCCAGCACAAUCCUACAAGUUCUGGAAUGGAGACAGAGUCUGCCAUAAUUCAGCCUCUCCUGGAUCCCUCCUGACAGCUGGCCUGCCAAAGAGCAAGGAGCCUGGAGCCUGAAUAUCUGUAUAACACCUCAUAAGGAUGGCUCCGGUCACGUGACACAGAAGUGGCUGUCAAGGAAUCUUUGUCUGCCCCAUUGCCAAAGGAGCAGCUGACCUCAGUGGUUGCCAGGCAACACUGUCCACAUCCAGGCGUUUGCCCAGUGGCCUUAUGGAGUCUGUGGUGACUCAAGGCUGGGAAGCGUGGUGCAGCUCUGCCUGGCACUGGGGCGGGAGGCUAACAGGAUACGUGCAGCAUCGCGGGCAGUAUUGGCCAAGAUCAGGCCUGAAGUGAACCCUUGCGGCUUGAAGAUUCCCGAGCAACACAAGUCCUUUUUUGAGAAGUGGAAUAAUUUGUUUUUGGCAAAACACUGUUUCUUUUUUCGAGGGUGAGAAGAAAAAGAGUGUGGGAAAAGCUUUGGAAAUCUUGCAAGACCUCUUGGACAUGGACUAUGUGUUACAAAACAUAUUUUUGACGAGUUAAGUGUUAACCAACCAAAAACAGACAGAUUGUCUUUCCCAUGUUGGCUUCAAACUGCAGCGGAGUAAGUGCCGUUGCUGAACACCCUGAGAAUUUGCCGAACCCUGUCAUUUUCAAAAGCUUGUCAAGAAGCCCAGAGCACAAGAGGCCAGAACGGAGUUGCCUGCCCCUUUCUGCAGGAUGUGUGCAGCCUUCUGGGAGAGAGGGAGGGAAAAAAAUGAACAAUACCAAAUCAAAGAGUUCCAACUGUCAGUGAAGGGUGGUCCAGAAAAAAAGCUUUCAAAGGAGAAAAAGAUUCGUUAGAAAACAUAAUGAGUUCUCUUUGUCAUUGAAAAUACAUCCAAAGAUGUAUUUCAUGACUACUUUUGACAGGCAAUGAUCUGAAUAUUUGAUGGACACAGACAUUCUUUCUUGUCCUCAAACAGCUCUUAAAGACUCCCCGAGGAAACGGAGCUGUAAGCAGAUGAUUACAAUGCAUAGUAAUGGUAUAGAAUUCAAGGUAACAAGAAAGGAAAUGCUAACGCUGGUGAGCCUGGAAAAGAUCUCGAAGAACUGAAUUGUCAGAGCUUUCUUUUUAAUUCGUUUAAUUUUUAAUUGGCACAUAAAAGUUGAACGUGUAUGGGGUUCCCUGCAAUGUUCCUACACAUAGUAGUCAGGCCAAGGUAAACCUCUAGCUCCUCAAAUAGUUAUAAUUUCUUUGCCACGAAAAUAUUCUAAAUCUCUCCUCUAAUGCUGCUGGGAAAUAAAGUGCACUAUUGAUGUCUCCAUAACCCUAUAGUCCCCUAGAGCUCAGCUUCUCAGAGUGUGAUCUUGGCCUCCUAAGCAUCCUAUGCCUAAAUGCAGAUUUAAAAAGUUUUAGGAAGAGUAGGUUUUUGAGCAUGAAAUGACAAAAAAAAUUAACUCAAAAUCAAUGUGUAACAAACUCAGGGUGUGGAUGGUGGUGUUCCCAGUGCCGCAUCUCGUGACUUCCCUAUAGCUUUAGCUCUGAGCUCACACCACGCACCCCCUCCAUUGUCCACCCUGGAGUACCAGUCCCUGGAGCACUCAGCUCAGAUCCCAGACAAGUGGGUGCUGUAAUUCACUUGGAUUUUUACUGCACAUACAUUCUCUGUUCUUGCAGAAACAUGAUUGCGUUUUACAGACUCACGUCAGGAUAUCUGUAGGGUAUAGUGUGUUAGAAUGUUUGGUUUUUAAAACCUUUGGGUAAGCUUCCAUUAAGAAAUUAUUAAAUUAAUUCUGGCUUAGUCCUAUCUUUCAAUAAUUUGUGAAAUAGCCUUAAAUAGAUUGAUAUUAUUUUGUACUAUGUACUUACAAAUUCAGCAUUCUCAGCACUGACAAUUAUGAAAUAAAAUAAAACAGUGUUGACUCUGACAAACA